AUCCCCUGUGAGGAUAGGGUUUGUAUGAUGAACUACCCAACCCUGCCGCCUGGCUGUGCAGUGCUCAUUUAAUGUGCUCCUCAGCAAGUGAUGACUCAAAUCAUCAGGGGGCAGCCUGUCUCCACUGCAGUCUCCGCCCCUAACACGGUUUCCUCAACACCUGGGCAGAAAAGCUUAACUUCAGCAACAUCCACUUCAAAUAUACAGUCUUCAGCCUCACAGCCCCCUCGCCCCCAACAAGGACAAGUGAAGCUCACCAUGGCUCAACUUACUCAGUUAACACAGGGCCAUGGUGGCAAUCAAGGUUUGACAGUAGUAAUUCAAGGACAAGGUCAAACUACUGGACAGUUGCAGUUGAUACCUCAAGGGGUGACUGUACUCCCAGGCCCAGGCCAGCAGCUAAUGCAAGCUGCAAUGCCAAAUGGUACUGUUCAGCGAUUCCUCUUUACCCCAUUGGCAACAACAGCCACCACAG
rnacentral:sRNA from 1 species